ensembl:misc_RNA Metazoa_SRP Metazoan signal recognition particle RNA
GCCAGGUGUGGUGGCUCACACCUAUAAUCCCAGCACUUCGGGAGGCCAAGGCAGGAGGAUCGCUGGAGCCCAGGAGUUCAAGACCAGCCUGGGCAACACAGCGAGACCCUGUCUCUU